rnacentral:rRNA from 1 species
UACGGAGGGGGCUAGCGUUGUUCGGAAUUACUGGGCGUAAAGCGCACGUAGGCGGCUUUGUAAGUUAGAGGUGAAAGCCCGGGGCUCAACUCCGGAACUGCCUUUAAGACUGCAUCGCUUGAAUCCAGGAGAGGUGAGUGGAAUUCCGAGUGUAGAGGUGAAAUUCGUAGAUAUUCGGAAGAACACCAGUGGCGAAGGCGGCUGACUGGACAUGUAUUGACGCUGAGGUGCGAAAGCGUGGGGAGCAAACAGG